GCCGGGCAUGGUGGCUCAUGCCUGUAAUCCCAGCACUUUGGGAGGCUGAGGUGGGUGGAUUACCUGAGGUCAGGAGUUCGAGACCAGCCUGGCCAACAUGGUGAAACCCCAUUUCUACUAAAAAUACAAAAAUUAGCUGAGUGUGGUAGCUUAUGCCUGUAAUCCCAGCACUUUGGGAGGCUGAGGCGGGUGGAUCACCUGAGGUCAGGAGUUUGAGACCAGCCUGGCCAAUAUGGUGAAUCCCCAUCUCU
rnacentral:sRNA from 10 species